UUUCUAAAAGGAAAUCUUUUUCCUGAACCAGGGGAGGGUCUGUUUGAAUUUGCUUUCUGGAGGGACCCCUUCAGAGGUUCUCUCCCAAAUUUGCUCUAAACCAGGACACUGGAAUAAGGAACAAAAGCAGGCCAGAAAGCACCCAACCUUCCACUUAAAUAAAGGCAACAGAGGAAAGAUAUUCUUUCUUGUUGGGGUUGAUGAAAACUUUGACUUAAGACUGUGGGAAAAAUCCCAUUAGUCAUGGAGAGUAAAAUAUUACCCACAUUUCCCCUUGGCAAUUGACAUUAUUAUGUUAAUGUUACUAGAAAGUUCUUUGUUUACCCUGUUGUUAUUGGUUUACAUUUGUCAAAGUUAUUUGCAUAAACUUCACUCCUGGUUGAUACUUUCCCUCAGACUCCACCCCUAAUUUAGUUUAUAUAAAUUAUCUUAAGCCCCUGGAUCUUUCCUUUGUUGUGCACCGCGUACCUUGUUCGCGUUCUCACUUGCUGUAGCAGUUUGUUAUUUUCUCCUUAUUAAAGUGCUUUUGCUUUGGGUCACGAGAUCAUGCCCACUUGUCAUUUUAUCUCACUGCCUAAGGGAUCUUCUCCCUGACAUCCUGAGGUAGCACCCGUUGUCUACUCCAGGUCCAGGCUGCUACACUUUCUCAGAUCUACUGAGGACACUGCCAGGAUAUCAAAAUAGAUAAGAAAAAAACCAGAAACCAUACCUUUUCUGACAGGUCUAUGAAGAGCUACAGUUCUACCUUGAGCCCUUUUCUGGAUUAAUUAGCUGUAAUUUGGAAGCUCACCCUCUGCUACUUACUGAUGCGACUAAAGUGAUAUUUUCUGAUCAUUCUCCAGAAAUCAUCUGUGGUUUCAUCCUUUGGGCCUAGAAGGAGAUAAUUUUAGGGACUUUUUCAGAUCGCAGCCACAUGAAAAAACACCUGCUUGACAUACUUAGCCACGCAAUCUGAAGAGCUAACCAGAGAUCAUGCAAGUUUUGAAAUCCUGUGCAAAAAGGUGCACAAAAUUUUCAGUCUUUGGGAUUUGAAAGCCUUCAAAAUUUUUCAGUAAAAAACAACUGGCUAAUGUUCAGUCUCUUGUUUUGGAAAAAGGUCUACAGAAAAGGAAAAUUUUAUUUUAAACUGGAUUUUAUUCUGGACAUAUUCUCAAUGUUAAACAUAUCAUAAACAUUGUCUGGGAAAACUAACUAUAACUAUAAUAAAUAAUUUUUCAAACACUGAUGAACUUUCAGUUCACUUAAGCAUAAAUACUCCUUCUAUAUAUUUACUGAAGUAUUUUUGCCCUCCAAAUAAGGUGUGAUCACAUCGAUAUCUGCAAUCUGUGUAUGCAAAAACAAAUAAAAAAUAACCCAAAGGUGGU